AUGAGCCUGGACCGGCAUUUCAGGAGAGCCAGAGUGGAGAGCAGGGUAAACCUGAAAUCCCGUUGUCUGACUCGACAGAACUUUGGCUAAUACAGUGGCCUCUAAACCAUGUAAAAUGCUUCUGAUUUUCACGGUGAAGAGGUUUCUCUUACGCUUCAUCACAAUGGAAACUUGGGAAAUUUGGAAAGUCCUUCGGGGACAUCGUAUGAACCCGUCAGCUUUGCUGCUCAACAGCCGGAUGCUACUGUCU